AUGUGGAGGAGAAAUUUAAUGCAAUCGAAACCAAUUUGUAAUCAACAACGUAAGCCGAUAAAUUUAGAAUUAUCGGCUAAUGAAAAGGAGGUAGCUAUGCUUGAUUUCUCUGGAAACAUAGGACCUUUUGUUUUGCUAGCUGAAUUUCGUGCUAAGGAAGAUGAUGAACAUCUGGACGAUGGAGCACGAAAUCGUGACGACAAGGUGAAAAUAUUGGAGAGCCAUCAAAGAACAAACCUAGACAUCACUCAGGUGAAAAAAUUAGAAUGCUUCUCCAACAUAUCGGAUCAGGUAAAGUCCGCAGGUCAAGAAAAGGGCUUAAUUGCUGGUGUACAUGUGAGUGUACAAAAGGCUUCAGUGAAGAAAAAGGUUAUUGAACUUUGGGGGCAUGCACGUGUAGAACAGCUAGAAAAUGUAUGCCAUGUGAGUGUGAAGCAAGAGGGAUCUUCGGCAAAGGUAGUAACAAAUCAGAAUCCGCCGAAGAGCUCGGGGGACAAUGGCAGCCAGUCGAGACACUCACAUAGCUUAUCAAAUUGGCAAAAGAAGCAGCUCCACAAGCUUAAGUGCAGAAAAGCUGAGUGAGAGAGGUAUG
rnacentral:lncRNA from 1 species